AUUGAACGCUGGCGGCAGGCUUAACACAUGCAAGUCGAGCGGGGUGAUGGUGCUUGCACUAUCACUUAGCGGCGGACGGGUGAGUAAUGCUUAGGAAUCUGCCUAUUAGUGGGGGACAACAUCUCGAAAGGGAUGCUAAUACCGCAUACGUCCUACGGGAGAAAGCAGGGGAUCACUUGUGACCUUGCGCUAAUAGAUGAGCCUAAGUCGGAUUAGCUAGUUGGUGGGGUAAAGGCCUACCAAGGCGAUGAUCUGUAGCGGGUCUGAGAGGAUGAUCCGCCACACUGGGACUGAGACAUGGCCCAGACUCCUACGGGAGGCAGCAGUGGGGAAUAUUGGACAAUGGGGGGAACCCUGAUCCAGCCAUGCCGCGUGUGUGAAGAAGGCCUUAUGGUUGUAAGGCACUUUAAGCGAGGAGGAGGCUCUUUUGGUUAAUACCCAAGAUGAGUGGACGUUACUCGCAGAAUAAGCACCGGCUAACUCUGUGCCAGCCGCCGCCGUAA
rnacentral:rRNA from 1 species